CAAAAUGUAUUUCCCCGAACACACUCGGUCUCUUGUGAGGGUGACAGCUAACAGCUAGCAACAGUCCACGCUUGGUUACAGCGUUGUGCCAACUAACGUUAAGUUAACUUGCAUUAACCUAAAUUACCAAGAGAAA